rnacentral:rRNA from 1 species
CCUACGGGUGACAGCAGUGAGGAAUAUUGGUCAAUGGGCGCGAGCCUAAACCAGCCAAGUAGCGUGAAGGAUGACUGCCCUACGGGUUGUAAACUUCUUUUAUAAAGGAAUAAAGUGAGGCACGUGUGCCUUUUUGUAUGUACUUUAUGAAUAAGGAUCGGCUAACUCCGUGCCAGCAGCCGCGGUAAUACGGAGGAUCCGAGCGUUAUCCGGAUUUAUUGGGUUUAAAGGGAGGGUAGAGGGGUUGUUAAGUCAGUUGGUAAAGUUUGGGGCGUAACCGUAAAAUUGCAAUUGAAACUGGCAGCCUUGAGUACAGUUGAGGUAGGCGGAAUUCGUGGUGUAGCGGUGAAAUGCUUAGAUAUCACGAAGAACUCCGAUUGCGAAGGCAGCUUACUAAACUGCCACUGACAUUGAUGCUCGAAAGUGUGGGUAUCAAACAGGAUUAGAUACCCCAGUAGUC